AAAAUCCGUUGACUUUUAAAAUCGUGAGGGUUCAAGUCCCUCUAUCUCC
rnacentral:tRNA from 14 species